rnacentral:tRNA from 1 species
GCUCGGUUGGUGUAGUCCGGCCAAUCAUGUUGGCCUUUCGACGAACGCGGCAUCCGUGGUGCCGGUUCGGAAGACAGCCGACGACCAGGGUUCAAAUCCCUGACCGAGCA